rnacentral:rRNA from 1 species
UGGGGAAUAUUGGACAAUGGGCGAAAGCCUGAUCCAGCCAUGCCGCGUGUGUGAAGAAGGUCUUCGGAUUGUAAAGCACUUUAAGUUGGGAGGAAGGGCAGUAAGCGAAUACCUUGCUGCUUUGACGUUACCGACAGAAUAAGCACCGGCUAACUCUGUGCCAGCAGCCGCGGUAAUACAGAGGGUGCAAGCGUUAAUCGGAAUUACUGGGCGUAAAGCGCGCGUAGGUGGUUCGUUAAGUUGAAUGUGAAAGCCCCGGGCUCAACCUGGGAACUGCAUCCAAAACUGGCGAGCUAGAGUAGGGCAGAGGGUGGUGGAAUGUCCUGUGUAGCGGUGAAAUGCGUAGAUAUAGGAAGGAACACCAGUGGCGAAGGCGACCACCUGGGCUCAUACUGACACUGAGGUGCGAAAGCGUGGGGAGCAAACAGG